rnacentral:piRNA from 1 species
UGGGCUUUACUGCUAGCAUCCAAAAUGUC